UACGUAGGGUGCGAGCGUUAAUCGGAAUUACUGGGCGUAAAGCGUGCGCAGGCGGUUAUGUAAGACAGAUGUGAAAUGCCCGGGCUCAACCUGGGACCUGCAUUUGUGACUGCAUCGCUAGAGUACGGUAGAGGGGGAUGGAAUUCCGCGUGUAGCAGUGAAAUGCGUAGAUAUGCGGAGGAACACCAAUGGCGAAGGCAAUCCCCUGGACCUGUACUGACGCUCAUGCACGAAAGCGUGGGGAGCAAACAGGAUUAGAUACCCCGGUAGUCC
rnacentral:rRNA from 1 species